AGAGGAAGCCCAGGAUUCUCUUUACAGCACCCCUCAAAAAACUGCUUACACAAACCUGCCGGAAACCAAGGCUGAACAGCAGGAAGAUGAAGUAGAAUAUUCAUCUGUCAACAUUAAACCCAAAGAAACGCUUCAGAUGUCUGCAUACACAGAGAAGCAGGAUGAAUCAACCAUCUACAGCACAGUGAUGAACGGUUAAUCUUAUACAUUCAGCAGUGAAGAUACAGAUUUGUACUGUAACAUGUUUGUGUGUGUGUUUUAUCUUUAAAAAUCUUAUUAUCUUUAAAAAUCUCUGGCUAGUUCUCUUUCUUAUGUGCUUCACUUGAACAGUCUUCAAAAACAUUUUAUGGCAGCACCGUUGGCAGUAGACAGAAAACUUCUCGGAUAAGCAUUGCUUGAUAGCUACAAAGAACAGUAAAAAAGAAAAGGCAGUGAGUAAAGAAAAACUUUAAAACGUUAAAAUUAUGUUAAUAAAUUCAUUCAAUUAAGAAACAUUUUUUCUGCUUUCUGUUGUUUUGCUUUUUAAUACUUUUUAUUGUAAAUAAUGUUUCAAUCUGCAACUGUU